UUUUGAGCCUUAAAGCAUAACAAAGACCCUAUUCAUGUUUGACCCUCUCAGAACUGGGCACACCAAGGCAUAGAGAGGUCUAUAGAACAUGCCGGUACCUAGAGCUCCUCAGUAGGAUUUGAACCCAGCAGGGGAGGCUCCAGGCGCUGUGCUCUUGCUCACUAGGAUAUGCUAGCUCUCUCUAUGACCUCAUAGAAGAGCACAUGUUUGCCCACACAUCAGGCUGUUGGGCUCUAAGUGCAACCCAAACUUCAAGCUCUUCCCAGAGCCCAACUCAGGUUCAGGUGCUUCCCGUGGAGUUGCUCAAACAGUUUUUCAAAGUUUGAACCGUGAAUAAACUAGGAAGAAUUCCCCUACGGAAUUCUGCCAGCCAGACAUCACCAGUGCUCUUUCUUGUAAUGCACUUGAAAGCACGUUGCAUCCAGGAUCUGACAGUGGUACCUGAAAACUCAGCACAGGGAAUUCUAUUGCUGGACCAACGGAGUGGGUCAGAAAAGUCCACAGCUGGCCACAGCAUUCUGUGCAGCUGGAAAAUUCAUCAGUGGAAGGUACUGUGGAAAACCAGUUCAGCUCAUUCAGUCAUCAUGAUUCUGGUUGGUUCAGCGUCUCAUAUUUAAGGCAAAACUCUAACACUGUUAUGCUGUGGUCUUCUUUGAGUUCAUCUGUGCAAUUUGAAAUUAUCAAGGGAAUCGUGAGUCUUACAACUAGAGUAGAAGGAUAAAGCUGGGACAGUUUGCACAGAAAGCCCCAUCUCAAUCUAACGCUCCCCAUGCAGGCGAGUGUGAAACAUCGUCUGAGAUGAGCUCUUCUCUGGGCUCAGCCACGCCUUGCAAGAUGCCAAGAGAAUCAAAAGGCUUCAAGUGCGAAUCAAUCGGUAUGAACCUCUGUAUAAAUCCUGCCAACAGGAUGUCAGCAGCUGUCUCUAUCGUCAUACAUUUGGGAGGUGUGGCCACCAGGAUCUGACAGUAGUUCCCGAGGAGUCGGCACCGUCUAUCCUGGCCUCAUGCAGUGGGUCAGAAAAACCCACAACCGGCCACACAGCUGAGGUCCUCCCAGAACACCAUCCAUUGAAGGUCCUGUGGGAAGUCAGUGAAGUUCAUUCAAUCGUCACGAUUCUAGUGGGUUCAGUGCCCCGUAUUGAAGUCAGAACUCUAACACCGUUAUGCUUUAGUCUUCUUUCAGUUCAUCUGCGUGCAUUUAAAUGGAAGUCAUUGCUAUUCCUACAACUAGAGAAGUGACGAUGUUUUUACAGUGUAAAGGUAGGUACCCUUUAACGAGAAAGCAACAUCUCAAUCUAAUGCUUACAGCAGAUAAACCUCUUCCUGAAACAAUGUUGCCGUCCCUGACAAAAUUAGUCACUGUGUAGAACACUUUGAAAUUAACAUAAAACUGGAAGAGACAGUACAGAAAGCUCUCAGACCCUUUGUCCACACUUCUUUUCUGAACCCCUUUUUUCAGCGGUGUAGUUCACAGGUAACAGCAAUUACACCAGUAUUGCUACAUUCCUACCAACUGACGUCAGGAGCCUGCUUUGAGGCUCAGCGUGUUGUACCAUCUAUGGGUUGUGACAAACUCUGAAUGCCUCUCACUCCCCAGACGAAGGAGCUGCACGUCCCAACCUCUCCCUGUGCUUCCCCUGCCAAUCCCCUUACCCGUCUCCGGAUGCCCUGGCAACAACGGUCCUGUUCACUGUCUCUACAGUUUCCUUUUCCAGAACUGUCUAUGCCUGGAAUCAUAGAGCAGGCAGCUUUUUUAGAGGGUCUUAUCCCACUCAGCGAUAUUUAUUCACGGCCAGCGUCUGACUUUGAGGUCACCCCGUGGUGGCUACCCUCUCUUCCCAGCCUUUCUUGGCAAGGCCUCAUGUUGGCUUCAGUGGGAACUUCUUUUCAUCUGCCCAGGCCCUUCUAACACCCACCAGUGUCAGCAAGGCCAGGACCAGGGACAGCAGCAGCCUCCUGCCUUGGGUUCCUGGGACCGCACCCCCUCCCCACUGAAAUUUCCCAGGAAUCUGUAGCCACCUCCCAGCCAGUUCUGAUAGGAAUCUGAGAAAGGAGGAUGCUCCAUGGAAAGAGUCAUGGAAACUUCACUCCAACCUUCUGUACUAGAGUGUCAUGAUUCACUGGAGAGAAGGUACCCAAGAAUGUGGAAAGCCUGACUCCCUUCACCGCCUCUGCCAGCCACGGCUUCUGCAUGGUGGGCAAGAUGUGCUCUGUAAAAUGAGAAAAGGGGCAUCUUCAGGGACUGAGCAUCAGGCAAGCACGUGGCCCUCUUCCUAGGAGGAAGACACGAUAGGUCGUGCAUUGCAAGGCUGGGAAAGAUUUAUUCAGUGUCAUGACCAAAAGAAACUUCACCCAAUUCCCCGCCUAACCUCGUGGGUGAUACAGGUUUCUGCUGCCUUUCGAGGUCCUUUGGAAGAAAACAGGAUUCUUGCUUAAGAAAAUGUAGAUGAGAAAUGAGGCAUAUGACGGGUUGCGGAACAUGUGGAUUAUAAACACCACGUGAAAUGCUUUCGAUUUCAUAGAAUUCCGUGACCCUGCAAUUGAGCUCUUCAUAUUGUUUUUCCACAAAACAAAAAGAUGAGACUCACCAUUAGAAAAGAGUCACUUUUUCUCCAGAAACAGGCUUCUCAUAAGAAGAUUGCCCUGGACGUUUCUCACUCUCUAGAACACAGCGGCCCAGUGGUGCUUGAGAGAAAACCCAGGGUGAGGAAUUCAAUGCUAAAAGGAGCGACUACAAGACCAAGGGCUGAGGAACCCAGAGGCGGCCGCUCAGUGGACUCACGGGAGAAGGCAGGGCUGGGGCCCCAGGCUGGACCUUGAGAGGGAGAAGAUAUAGAGGGGGAGAAGGAAGUCCCAAGAGCACCCGGGCGCGGAGAGAACGAGGAUGGGGGAGGAUGGCUUCCAGGGUUUUAAUGUCAGGAGGCUCAUUAUGUCAUCAUCCCCAGAGUCCAGCGAUUUUCCUGCUCCUUCUGAGUGGGAAAGAGCAGGGCGGACUGUCCUGGCUGCAGUGAGCCCCGCAUGGACACCUCUGCCUUUUCUCAAGAGACGGGUUCCUUCCUGAUGAAUCUCUGAGACAGGAGCUGAGGACUGGGGUCUUCAUCAGGUUGUGACAACGCAGACCUUUCCCAUCCUGGAAGCUGGCCACAGACAGAGCAGGAAUCCCAUUUCCGAUAUUCUGAGCCAGACUGGCGGGGGACAUAGUUCAGCAGGGAUAGACUCAAGGUGAGGCCUGACACAGAGAGGCGCCCAGGCCUGAUCCUUGUGGGGCUGGGCAGAAACCAGUUUCCAUCUUCCACGUGCUUCUGGAAGUUUCCUGUCAAGCGUGCUUCUGUAGACGGCACUAGCCAAAGGUGGCCUGGCUCAGAAAUGUGUUGAAACUGAAGGUAGUGUGGCCCCCGGCCAGGGAAGCUGCCCGGCAAAAGUGAGGGCACCAGCUCCGGUCCCAGGCGAGCUCAGCAAAGUCCGGGAGGCCGAUCCCUGAGCCAGCCUUCCUUGCUCCUCCGUUUCACGGCACAGAGGACAUGGGUUUGAGAGUUUCUCCAAAAGGAUCUCGGAGUUCUCAGGCCCAAACUCUGAGUCCUCCCCCUCCUGGGGAGCCGCAUUCUGGCCACAGCUUUUCAGUGCAAGGGCAGGAACUGUGACCUCGGCAUCCCCUCUCCUCACAGCCCUCAGCCCUGGGCAGCCUGUCUUAGGCCCCAUGAGGCUCUCAUGAACGCAGCCCUGGGCUGGGCUCUAGCUCCAGUGGGCAAAAGUUCCCUCCUCACCCUGUCCCACCUGUUGGACCCUCCCACUGGGCGAGGUGUCUUCCCAGAGUUCCAAUCAAGUCAGGGGUGGUGAGGGGGGGCUCCUGCAGACAGAGCUCUCCCUGUUCGUGGGCUCCCUCUGCUCUGAUCCUGUCUAGACAGAGUCGGUUUCAUCCUUCUGAGUGCAAGCGCACCGCCUACACCACGGGGUCCCUCUGGGCCAAGGCACUGUCCUCACUGUUAAGUCCCCACAACUCACAGUGUCUGGUCCUUCUGCAGGUCCUAACCAUAUGCGAUUUCCUUUCAAAAGCCCUCAGAAAUCACACACGAAUGAUUGCAUCAGAGCAUCCAACAACUCUGCAAGGAAACACGCAGGAAGGGAGUCACGUCUUCCUCAUCUGUGUAUCUCUAGAGCUGCACCAUCCAGCAUGGGAGUCCCGGCCUGGCGGUGCUGUGUAUAACCAGUUCAUUCGUGAGGGCAGUUCAUCCAAAUAGAAUGAGACAUUCCACUCCCCAGUCACACUGGCCACAUUUCCCGUGCCCCACAGACUUGGUGCCACCUGCCACCACAUUCAAGACAGAGCAAGAUAAUUUGCAUCCACAAAACACACCGUUGGGACUCUGCUCAGAGCAUGGCACGGGGACUGUGCAUUGAACUCAUCUAACUACGAAACCCGUGCAUCAGAGCUGGAAUUUCAGAGACUUCAUGGUCAACAGAAGACAUGACACAAGCAGUGAAGAAGGUGACACUCCGGGUUUGGAACAACCCAAGGGGGGACCCGAUAGAAGAGGGUGCCUGCAGCAGUCGGGGUCGGCCUGCGGCUUCAGAGACGAAGCAAGUGGGACAUGAAAUCAGAAAGAGAAAGGAGGUGUGUGUGGAAGGCGGCUUUGUCCUUGUCUCUCCUGACCCAGCAGGGAGAGGUUGGAUCCUCUGGUCUUUGAGUGUGCAGUGUCUGUGAUCAUUUUUUCCCUCUGCGGUAUUUAAAACAAUCUUUCCCAGCAAACCACUUCUUCCCUGCCUUUGCCUCAGCCAAUCUUCAAAGCCUUUGGUGAUGUGUGCAGCACCUCUUGGGAAAUGUACACAGCAGAUUUUGUCCCAGGUUUUGGGCAGCGACCAGCAGGGGAUGCAAACCGGGUGCCCAACUCUCUCGCAGGCACCACGGGAUCCGGGAACCAAACCUCCUCUAGCCAGUGCAGGUGGGGUGAGAAGCCGGCCCUCCCCCUCCUUGCUUUCAGGACCCUGGCCGCUGCUUCCUGGUCUGCCUCACUGUCUGUUCCUGGUGGAAAGGCUGUUUGUUCCCUGGGCUGGACGAGGUAAGGAAUCCUCCUCUGGGAUCACCGCAAAUGUCCUGCAUCCUGGAGACGCAACAGGAAACACAGCCCUCAGCACGUUUCAGUCCCCAGGUGUCACCCAAAUGCCACAUCCUGGGAUGAGGAACAAAAGCUGAAUUUACUUUGAUUUGAGAGGCCCCAGUCCAGCUGCCCCUGGAGACCUUCUCCAUUUGAGAGGAUGUGUGAAGGGAGCUGGGCUUCCUGCCCAUGCUGAGUAUCACAGUCUCAGUGACUUCAUCCCUGGAAUCCUCCAGGCCCGGGACAGAGUCCCUGGCAGCAGGGAAAGGGCUCUCUGCACUCUCACGCCCACUGCCCUGACCAGACAGCACUGCCCUGCUGCCCACACUCCAGCCUCUUCUCUGUCUUCUGCCCUGCCGGGCACCAGGUUCCCACCCCAUUCUCCCACCCGCAGCUUGGUGCAAACCCUGACCCGUCCCCUCUCUGUAUGUAGCCAGAUCCUGCCUGUUAUCGAGUCCCUGGCUGCCUCACUUGCAGACUAAGGUUAUUUCCACAAGUUACAUGACCUCAAACUCAUGUUUAUCCUCUCAUGGGCUCUGGAACUGCCAUGAAGAUCCAAUGUCUCUGAAGGCCCCCAAAGUUAUACCAAAAGUAGAAACCUCACUUGGCAUAGUGAGUCUGAUGUAAUCCUCUCCCAUAGGACCCCACAUAACUGCAGGAUGGCGGGAGGGGAGCCCUGGGCUGCUCAGUUCGGUCAACUGAUCAAUUAAUUGGAGGUGGUGGCAGUAUGCCCACGGUGACUGCAUCAGGGGUUGGAGGACGAUAGGAAUGGUGGAAGGUGAGGAGGGGACAGGAAAUGGGUGUUAUCAUGGAGAAUGAAACAGGCCCUAAAGUGGGGAGGGCAGAGGGAAGUCCAUGUGAUGCACAGAACGUUACGGAGAUGGUGGCCAACUCUCGGAGACACAGGAUGGCCCAGGCGACCCUUCCUGGUCACAGUUAUGGAAUGUGGUGACUGGAAAAGUGUUGGAGAUGGGGACCAAGAGCCUCCUGGGGCUGGGCUCCAUCAUCCCAGGAGCAGCAGGAACCUGGUUCCCACCUGCACUCUAACUUCCUCCUUUCUUUCCCAAGGCCACCCCGUUGCGCUUCCUGCCGGAGGACAUGCAGCCGGGAAUGUGGCAAAUUGCAAGGAAUCUGAGAGUGGAGGCAGCGGCAUGCCUGUCAUUCAGUUCCUGUCUCAUCUUCCUUUCACCCUCCCUUUCCUUUCCAUCCCCCUUUUCUUUGUCAGGAGCUUCUCUUUGGAGCCCCGCGCCAUUCCCUCUUGCAUAUUUUAGGCCCAUCCUCCUGAAGGACCUGGUCCCACCCAGGCAGCUGAGGUCCUGGGUCUGCACUGGGGAUGAAGCCCCAGCCCUCCUUUCACUGCCUUGGCCCUGUCCUGGGUGCUGACCCCAGGCUGCAGCACUGACUCCUGCUGAGCAGCCCCAAGGGCUCCAGGCAGGGAGCUGGGCUGGGGGAGGAAGGAAAGUCUGGGUCUGUCCUGGACACCCCCUCACAGGGCGUUUUCUGCCCUGGGGGCUCUGGACAUGCGCAGUUCUUCUCUUCCAGAAGUCAGGACAGUGUUCCAUUCUCCCUGCAGGAGAGGACACAGAGGACACAAAGGUGGAAGAAAAGAGAGGGAGUGAGCAUGGAGGGGCCGCACGAAGAGGGGCCGGCAGGACGUGCACACGGCCCAAUGCUCCUCGCACUUUCUUACUGCCCUGACCGCUAAAUCAGUGCAGUCCAUCCCAGAAAACACUGGAGCAGCUUCUCUUAAGGGGAACUCAACAGCCGCAGAGGAGAGAAUCCUUUUCAACAAUCCACACACCAGAUUCCCAAAGGCUACCCAGUUGAACAUCUACAUUAAUUCGCUUCCGCAAGACAUUUAGGGAGACAGACUCAUAGGACAGAGCCUCACAAGGAAUUCGCUUCCCUGUAACUGAUAAACGCUUAAGAGCAGUGAAGGUGGAAACAAUGCCAGUCUCCUACAUGCUCUUCCAGAGAUGAGAUGUGGGGACUCAUCCAGCUGCCUCAUCAGAUCAGGAGACACUAGACCCCACCCUAGAAACAGACACUGCAGGGAAGGGGAACGUCAGGCCAAAGGCUCUGGAGAGGAUGUGUCCGAAUGUGACGGCAAUCUUCAGCAGUCUCGAUUCUGAGAUGCUUGGAAGGAAAGUAAGUGAACUCUCCUGCCGAGGUUUGCAUGGGGCUGAGGAGGACAGGACCGCUGGCCGUUUUGCUGCCGCCUGGAGAGUGGUGAGAUAGGAGAUGCCAUCGGGCUCGUGGAAUACACAUUUGGCAACAGAGUGACGGAGGCCCUGGGUGGUCCUCACAGAGGAUCCUGGGGUGGGGUCUUCAGGCUGUAGCGAUGAACAGAGCCCUCUAAGAGGAGAUGCAGUCUGCCCUGACACGGCAGGGUCUAGGGAGGGAGAAGAUUGUGGAGACUGAGUCUUGGUGAAGAGGGACUCGGGCAGGGAGGCGCCUACUGUGUGCUGGAGGAGACACUGCCUCUUUUCAGCCAGGCCUGAGUCUGGGCUGCUGAGACACAUGCUCAGAUCUCCAGUCCAUGAAUGAGAGGAAAGCAGGUGCUGGGAGGCUUCACUCACUGAGCCACCGGAGCAGCAGCCCAGGGGCCUCCUCCCAGGUAUUCACCUUCACUGGUCAUAAGAGUUUGUCAGUUACAGUGAAGCUAAUUCUUUGAGAGGUUCUGGUCCCAUGGGUGUGGCUGGCUCGGGAAUCCUGAGCUCUGAGCCAGUGAGGGGUCAAGCAGGCCACUAAUCAUUCAGGGUGGUCGCCGGAGCACCGGAAACCUCACCUUGAGGCGGCUCCUGGUGUGAAGGUGCUGGGGCAGGAGGGGCGUGGUUUGGACCCUGAUCCUUCUCUUUGUUUGAGGUCACCUUGGUCAGAUUUUCGGUCAAGGAUUAAAACAGAAGCAGGAGCCUGGGUCAGGGACCACCCACGAGAGGAGCUCUCCUCAAAGCAUUCCUGGAACACGAGGAUUUGGGAUAUGGGUGAGGGAAGACCUGGUUCCGGCGCCCAGGGCGUGAUCGAGAGGCCUCUGGGCUUCAGGGAUCUCCUUCUCCAGGGACCUAACUACAUCCCUGGCUCUGCCACAGCCCUCCUCAGUAUUGUGACUCUGGGGAAGUCACUUAGGCUUCUCAGUUUUAGUGUCCUCAGCUGUAAACUGUGGGUCCCAGCCCUGCUCUGCCCACUUCACGGGGCCCCUGUGAGGGUCAGAGGGAUGGCGGCAGCUGCUCUCGAGGAGCUGGAAGGCAUCUUGCCCAUGUAAAGCCUGGAAAGUGACUCAUGACUCUGGUGGCAUCUCUGCAGGAACCACUGCUGCUUGUCUCUCAUUCCCCAGACAUUUCGGAUCUGAGCAUGACUACAGCCCUAAUGAAGUGGCAGUUAUUUGGAUUCUGGCUUCAUCUGGGUCUGCCUCUAGGUCGCAUCUGAGCUCAGGCCAUCAGGCACCUGCCCCUUGCUCUCGGUCAGUGAGCUCAGCUGCCUUCUGAAUUGUCUCAUUAGAGGAAAGUUCCCAGGAUCAGCCCGGUGUUGAUAUAAAGAGCUCACAGCACCCCAGCACCUGUCCUCCUAAGCCCAGCUAUGACUCGGUGGCUCCCCUAGGCAGCUGCUGGGCACGAGUGUCACCUGGGAAAGAUGAACACCUGCCCGUGGUCGCCUGCCCGCACCGUCUCCACAGGGGGCGCUACUUUCAAUGUAUUUUUCCCAAGCUCAUGGCUUGUGGCUACAACAAGAAGACAUCACGAAAGAUUCAAAUUUAGAAUACACCAGAAAGGUGAUCCGGGCUCAACAAAACCUCCUGGCCAUUCCCAGAGCAUCCCAUUCGGCAUCUGGCAACAGCAUGGAGCCUCGGACGUCACCCUUGCCAGCUCCUCCACUAAGGGCGUCAUGGACCUGAAGCCAUUAGGAGAUUGGGGUCUUUAUUGUGGUUUGCGCAGCCGGGCCUGAGUCUUGGUGAGGAAGGACAGGAGCAGGAAGGUGCCCAGUCAGAGCUGGGGCAGCCACUGUUUCUUCUCAGCCAGGCCUCAGUCCAGUCCGCUGGGGCAGCUGCUCUGAUCAACAGGCACUGAGAUCCUGGCAUCUUGCAGGCUUCAGGGGCAGCUGCUCUGAUCAACAGGCACUGAGAUCCUGGCAUCUUGCAGGCUUCAGUCCUCGAGCUGCCCAAGCAUCAGCCCAGCAGGCCAAGUUUUCAAUCAAAGAAUCUGAACUGCCCAGGAGGCCGGUUUGGUCAAUUGAAGGUGAAUCUGAUUUGCAUUCCAACGGCUGCGUGGGCAGCUGGUGGGGGACGUCCCGCAUUCCGAGUUGGUUCGGAGUCAAGGAGGCUACUGGUCAUUCAGGGCAGUCACCCUACCCCACGGGAGUGUCUUCACAGGGCAGCCACAGAGUCACCGUGGGGGCAGACAGACACAAAUGUGGACCCCAUGCCUUCAGGAGGGCUUCAUUUGGGGAACGUCAUGGCAUUUUGGGUCAGGGAUUGAAAUGUAAACCCGGGAGUUGAGUCGGGAUUUGGGCCCUUCUCUUGGGCCAAGCGCCUCCUCCAGGCAUCAGUGUCUCCCUGCAGCAGCUGUGGGGUUGGGGCUUUGGACGAGGAGUGAAGAGGGUCCUUGGUUCAGUGUCCAGGGCGGGAUCUAACGGUCUUGAUGCAGGUGAGCUCGAGAACUGGCUCUGCUCAAGAGACAAGAGGGAGCCAACAGUGAAUGAAGGCAUGUCUUGGUGAACAAGUGUCGCCCAAAAUGGCUGCUCCACAGAGAACAGGGCUGUCCAGAGGCGUGAAGCACCAGUGGAGGGAUGGCUGGCUGAAUUUAUACCUACUCCUAAUUAUAUGCUAAUUAAGGGGUGGGCUAUUCAUGACUUUCUGGAAAAGGGGCAGGAGUUCCCAAAACGGUGGAAGGUAACAUCCAGGGCGUGACCUUAGCACUGGUAACAUUUCAUAGCCCUGGGGGGAGUGCCUCAAGGGAAUGCAUUAGAAUUCCUAGCCCUAGCUGGUUCCCUUGGCUUCUUCACUACAUCUUGUUUUGAUCAGCAGGGCCUGUGUGACAGGUGCUUGGAAAGUGAGUCCUGCUCGUCUCCUGCCUGAGCCGUGGCAUCCAGCAGUGCCUCUCAGUUUGGAUUGGAAAUAUUCUUAUAUCUAAAAUUGUGCAAUACAAUGUUUGAAUAUUUCAUUUACCUGUGAUUGACUGUGCUUUUUAAAGUUGUUCAAUUCAUCUUCACAAUAAAAGAAAAAGUGAUUUUGAAAUCAAAUGUGUAUUUUGGGAUAUGUAGACUUUGUCAAAGAGAAUUUUCAAAAGGGCUUUGACUUCAUGGAGAACCAGGUUGCAAAUAUCCAGGGAUUCCAAGAUACUACAUAAAGCAUCUAGCGAUAGAAAUACUUAAAAUACGGAUGUGAAAUUUCCCCAAGUUGCCAAAUAUCCCUCUGCAGCUGUGAACAAGAUGUGGCUAGUUUUGUCUUUUGGUUUCCCUGAAGACAAAUCCAAAGGUAGAUAGCACAGAAGGGUGUGUGCGUGUACGUGUGCAUAUGUGUGUGUGUGUGUGUGUG